rnacentral:rRNA from 1 species
CCUACGGGUGGCAGCAGUGGGGAAUAUUGCACAAUGGGGGAAACCCUGAUGCAGCGACGCCGCGUGAGUGAAGAAGUAAUUCGUUACGUAAAGCUCUAUCAGCAGGGAAGAAACACUGACCGUACGGUCAGCAGACGGUACCUGAGUAAGAAGCCCCGGCUAACUACGUGCCAGAAGCCGCGGAAAUACGUAGGGGCAAGCGUUAUUCGGAUUUGCGGGGUGUAAAGGGGGCGUAGACGGGGGGCCAAGUCUGGAGUGAAAUGCCGGAGCUUAACUGGGGAACUUCUUUUGAAACGGGCGGACUAGAGUGCGGGAGAGGUAAGCGGAAUUCCGAGUGUAGCGGUGAAAUGCGUAGAUAUUAGGAGGAACACCGGUGGCGAAGGCGGCUUACUGGACCGUAACUGACGUUGAGGCGCGAAAGCGUGGGGAGCAAACAGGAUUAGAUACCCGAGUAGUC